rnacentral:rRNA from 1 species
CCCUUAGAGUUUGAUCCUGGCUCAGGAUGAACGCUAGCUACAGGCUUAACACAUGCAAGUCGAGGGGCAUCAGUUUGGUUUGCUUGCAAACCAAAGCUGGCGACCGGCGCACGGGUGAGUAACACGUAUCCAACCUGCCUCAUACUCGGGGAUAGCCUUUCGAAAGAAAGAUUAAUAUCCGAUAGCAUAUAUUUCCCGCAUGGGUUUUAUAUUAAAGAAAUUCGGUAUGAGAUGGGGAUGCGUUCCAUUAGUUUGUUGGCGGGGUAACGGCCCACCAAGACUACGAUGGAUAGGGGUUCUGAGAGGAAGGUCCCCCACAUUGGAACUGAGACACGGUCCAAACUCCUACGGGAGGCAGCAGUGAGGAAUAUUGGUCAAUGGACGCGAGUCUGAACCAGCCAAGUAGCGUGAAGGAUGACUGCCCUAUGGGUUGUAAACUUCUUUUAUAUGGGAAUAAAGUG